CCUACGGGAGGCAGCAGUGGGGAAUAUUGCACAAUGGGGGAAACCCUGAUGCAGCGACGCCGCGUGGGUGACGAAGUAUUUCGGUAUGUAAAGCCCUAUCAGCAGGGAAGAAGAUGACAGUACCUGACCAAGAAGCCCCGGCUAACUGCGUGCCAGCAGCCGCGGUAAUACGUAGGGGGCAAGCGUUAUCCGGAUUUACUGGGUGUAAAGGGAGCGUAGGUGGCAUGGCAAGCCAGAAGUGAAAACCCGGGGCUUAACCCCGCGGAUUGCUUUUGGAACUGUCAGGCUGGAGUGCAGGAGGGGCAGGCGGAAUUCCUGGUGUAGCGGUGAAAUGCGUAGAUAUCAGGAGGAACACCGGUGGCGAAGGCGGCCUGCUGGACUGUAACUGACACUGAGGCUCGAAAGCGUGGGGAGCAAACAGGAUUAGAUACCCGUGUAGUC
rnacentral:rRNA from 1 species